AUACCCUAUUCCCUUCAUUUAACGGAUACAGAAUCGCGUCCCAACCUACAUCGCAGGACAACUCCUCUUCAAGCCUACAUCGAUCAGGUCUUAGUCAUUUUUUUCCAGAGAUAAUCCUCUUCUUCCCCAGGUUCAAGAUUGUUGUAGAAAUCAUUCUUCUCCUUCAGUUUCUUGUCUUUAUCGGCAAAACUAUCUGCUUACCAGGAAGCAAGGAGAGAACACCAUUUCUUAGGAAAUCAAAAUGACGAAAGUGUUGAGGCUGUUGAGAAUCCUAGAUCAAUUGCAAUUAAGGUUGUUCUAUUGCUGUUGCUCGACACUGUCAUUGAUGCUGUGUUUGCUGAUCCCCUUGUGGAUGCUGUCAAUAAUUUCUCUAGUGCCACAAGCAUUCCUUCUUUCUUCAUCUCAUUCAUUGUGCUUCCAUUUGCAACCAACUUCAGUGAGGCAGUGUCAGCUAUUAUCUUUGCUAGCCGGAAAAAGUUGAGAUCAUCAUCAUUAACAUUUUCGGAGGUUUGUUUUCCUGAUGCAGCUUCUAUCAACUCUACUUUAUAGUAGAUCUGCUUUCGCUACCCAUUACUUGCAUCAGUGAACCUGAAAGAUAAUUAAUGAACAUUAAGGGGUCAUUUAGUUGCAAGGAUUAGGGAUAAUAAUCUCGGGAUAAAAUGUAGGAUUGUUUUAUCCGCCUUUGAUUGAAUUUUUUGUUCUGGUAUAAGAAAUAUGCAAUUAUUUAUACCACAAUUGUGGUAUUGUUUUUA